UACGUAGGGGGCGAGCGUUUGUCCGGAUUUAUUGGGCGUAAAGAGCGUGUAGGCGGUUCGGUAAGUCUGUCGUGAAAUCCUGAGGCUCAACCUCGGAACUGCCUUUGAUACUGGGGAUCUCGAGUCCGGGAGAGGUGAGUGGAACUGCGAGUGUAGAGGUGAAAUUCGUAGAUAUUCGCAAGAACACCAGUGGCGAAGGCGGCUCACUGGCCCGGUACUGACGCUGAGGUGCGAAAGCGUGGGGAGCAAACAG
rnacentral:rRNA from 1 species